CCUACGGGCGGCAGCAGUCGAGAAUCAUUCACAAUGGGGGAAACCCUGAUGGUGCGACGCCGCGUGGGGGAAUGAAGGUCUUCGGAUUGUAAACCCCUGUCAUGUGGGAGCAAAUUAAAAAGAUAGUACCACAAGAGGAAGAGACGGCUAACUCUGUACCAGCAGCCGCGGUAAUACAGAGGUCUCAAGCGUUGUUCGGCAUCACUGGGCGUAAAGCGUGCGUAGGCUGUUUCGUAAGUCGUGUGUGAAAGGCGCGGGCUCAACCCGCGGACGGCACAUGAUACUGCGAGACUAGAGUAAGGGAGGGGGAACCGGAAUUCUCGGUGUAGCAGUGAAAUGCGUAGAUAUCGAGAGGAACACUCGUGGCGAAGGCGGGUUCCUGGACAUUAACUGACGCUGAGGCACGAAGGCCAGGGGAGCGAAAGGGAUUAGAUACCCCAGUAGUC
rnacentral:rRNA from 1 species